GAUGAACGCUGGCGGCGUGCCUAAUACAUGCAAGUCGAGCGAACAGACGAGGAGCUUGCUCCUCUGACGUUAGCGGCGGACGGGUGAGUAACACGUGGAUAACCUACCUAUAAGACUGGGAUAACUUCGGGAAACCGGAGCUAAUACCGGAUAACAUGUUGAACCGCAUGGUUUAACAGUGAAAGACGGUCUUGCUGUCACUUAUAGAUGGAUCCGCGCCGCAUUAGCUAGUUGGUAAGGUAACGGCUUACCAAGGCAACGAUGCGUAGCCGACCUGAGAGGGUGAUCGGCCACACUGGAACUGAGACACGGUCCAGACUCCUACGGGAGGCAGCAGUAGGGAAUCUUUCGCAAUGGGCGAAAGCCUGACGGAGCAACGCCGCGUGAGUGAAGAAGGUCUUCGGAUCGUAAAACUCUGUUAUUAGGGAAGAACAAAUGUGUAAGUAACUAUGCACGUCUUGACGGUACCUAAUCAGAAAGCCACGGCUAACUACGU
rnacentral:rRNA from 1 species